UACAGAGGUCCCGAGCGUUGUUCGGAUUCAUUGGGCGUAAAGGGUGCGUAGGCGGCGGGGUAAGUCUGAUGUGAAAUCCUGGGGCUCAACCCCAGAACUGCAUUGGAUACUGCCUUGCUAGAGUACUGGAGAGGAAACUGGAAUUUACGGUGUAGCAGUGAAAUGCGUAGAGAUCGUAAGGAAGACCAGUGGCGAAGGCGAGUUUCUGGACAGUAACUGACGCUGAGGCACGAAGGCCAGGGAGCAAACGGG
rnacentral:rRNA from 1 species